ACAGUUCCUAAACCCCUUGGGAUUUCCCAAGAGACAGCUUCCUUUUGCAGAGCUAAGCUCCCAAUUGUGUUGAGGCCUACACAUAAUGAAGAGGAAUGUGACACAGCAAGGGAGAAGCAAGGAAAUGCUUGUUUAUGUCUUUAAUACAUUGCUUCUGCCAAACCCAAAGGAUGUCUGGCUGCCUCGUGACAGUGCAGAGUAACUGCAGGGGAAGUGGGCCGGAUGAACACUCCUUUAGCAUCGUCACUGCAGGUGGAUGGACUUGGCUCUAAUACAGAACUGUUUGCUCCCCUCACCCUCCAUGAACUUCCAUGUGAGUGGCUUCUAGAGGGGAGCCCUGAACAUGCACACAGUUCCAGGGAAUCCUUUGCCCUCCUCUGGUCUUCAUGUUUACAGAGCCUGUUGUGGAACACCUAAUUUUUCUCUCCUCUCAUGUCAACACAAGUGGAAAACCUGUCAGAGAUUAAACCGGUCAG
ensembl:lincRNA 1700028M03Rik uncharacterized LOC110290641